GAUGAAGAACGCAGCGAAAUGCGAUACGUAAUGUGAAUUGCAGAAUUCAGUGAAUCAUCGAAUCUUUGAACGCAUAUUGCGCUCUCUGGUAUUCCGGAGAGCAUGCUUGUUUGAGUAUCAGUAAACACCUCAACUUCCAUAUCUUUUUUGUAAUGGGAGUUGGACUUGAGUGAUCCCAACGCUUUUCCUCACCGAAAAGUGGCGGGUUACUUGAAAUGCAGGUGCAGCUGGACUUUUCUCUGAGCUAUAAGCAUAUCUAUUUAGUCUGCCUAAAAAACAGAUUAUUACCUUUGCUGCAGCUAACAUAAAGGAGAUUAGUUCUUGUGCUGACUGAUGCAGGAUUCACAAAGACAGGCUUCGGCCGACUUUGUAAACUCGAUCUCAAAUCAAGUAAGACUACCCGCUGAACUUAAGCAUAUCAAUAAGCGGAGGA
rnacentral:misc_RNA from 1 species